CCUAGAGUAUGCGGGCUUUGCCUGCCAUCUCUUACCCAUGUCUUUUGAGUACCUUCGUUUCCUCGGCGGGUCCGCCUGCCGACUGGACAAUUUAAACCAUUUGCAGUUGCAAUCAGCAUCUGAAAAAACUUAAUAGUUA
rnacentral:misc_RNA from 1 species